rnacentral:misc_RNA from 1 species
AAGUCGUAACAAGGUUUCCGUAGGUGAACCUGCGGAAGGAUCAUUAUCGAGUCCCGGCUUCGGCCGACCUCAAACCCUUAAUCUACGUACCUCUGUUGCCUCGGUGGGCCGCACUGCCGUCGGUUCGCUGACGAGUGCCCGCCGAUGGGAUCUACAAAAUCAUUUUGAACAGUCUGAACAACAUAAUAAACAAAACUUUCAACAACGGAUCUCUUGGUUCUG